rnacentral:rRNA from 1 species
ACGCUCGACACCUACGGGAGGCAGCAGUGAGGAAUAUUGGUCAAUGGGCGCUAGCCUGAACCAGCCAAGUAGCGUGAAGGAUGAAGGCUCUAUGGGUCGUAAACUUCUUUUAUAUAAGAAUAAAGUGCAGUAUGUAUACUGUUUUGUAUGUAUUAUAUGAAUAAGGAUCGGCUAACUCCGUGCCAGCAGUCGCGGUAAUCUGAGCGGGCUGGCAAGGC